GAUGAACGCUGGCGGCGUGCCUAAUACAUGCAAGUCGAGCGAAUGGAUUAAGAGCUUGCUCUUAUGAAGUUAGCGGCGGACGGGUGAGUAACACGUGGGUAACCUGCCCAUAAGACUGGGAUAACUCCGGGAAACCGGGGCUAAUACCGGAUAACAUUUUGAACCGCAUGGUUCGAAAUUGAAAGGCGGCUUCGGCUGUCACUUAUGGAUGGACCCGCGUCGCAUUAGCUAGUUGGUGAGGUAAGGGCUCACCAAGGCAACGAUGCGGAGCCGACCUGGGAGGGUGAUCUGACACACUGGGACUGAGACACGGCCCAGACUCCUACGGGAGGCAGCAGUAGGGGAUCUUCCGCAAUGGACGAAAGUCUGACGGAGCAACGCCGCGUGAGUGAUGAAGGCUUUCGGGUCGUAAAACUCUGUUGUUAGGGAAGAACAAGUGCUAGUUGAAUAAGCUGGCACCUUGACGGUACCUAACCAGAAAGCCACGGCUGACUACGUGCCAGCCGCCGCCGUAA
rnacentral:rRNA from 1 species